UUCCGGUUGAUCCUGCCAGAGGCGACCGCUAUUGGAGUUCGAUUAAGCCAUGCGAGUCGAGAGCUUUAGGAGCUCGGCAUACUGCUCAGUAACACGUGGAUAACCUGCCCUGUGCUCUGGGAUAACCUCGGGAAACUGAGAAUAAUACCGGAUAGUCCACCACGCCUGGAACGGUGGGUGGAUCAAAGGUCACGGCACAGGAUGGGUCUGCGGCGUAUCAGGUUGUAGGGGGUGUAAAGGACCCCCUAGCCAUUGACGCGUACGGGUUGUGGGAGCAAUCGCCCGGAGAUGGAUUCUGAGACACGAAUCCAGACCCUACGGGGUGCAGCAGGCGCGAAAACUUCACACUGCAGGAAACUGUGAUGAGGGAACUCCAAGUGCAUGCACAAUGUGUAUGCUUUUCCUUACUUUUAAUCGGUUUGGGAAUAAGGGCUGGGAAAGACCGGUGCCAGCCGCCGCGGUAAUACCGGCAGCUCGAGUGGUCGUCGCUUUUAUUGGGCCUAAAACGUCCGUAGCCUGUUUGGUAAAUCUGUGGGUAAAUCAACCAGCUUAACUGGUUGAAUUCUGCAGAGACUGCCAGACUAGGGACCGGGAGAGGUGUGGGGUACUCUCGGGGUAGGGGUAAAAUCCUGUCAUCCUGGGAGGACCACCAGUUGCGAAGGCGCCACACUGGAACGGAUCCGACGGUCAGGGACGAAGCCUAGGGGCACGAACCGGAUUAGAUACCCGGGUAGUCCUAGGAGUAAACGCUGUGAACUUGGUGUC
rnacentral:rRNA from 1 species